UGGGGAUGACGUCAAGUCCUCAUUGGCCCUUAUGGGUAGGGCUUCACACGUCAUACAAUGGUCGGUACAGAGGGUUGCCAAGCCGCGAGGUGGAGCCAAUCCCACAAAGCCGAUCGUUAGUCCGGAUUGUUCUCUGCAACUCCGAGAGCAUGAAGUCGGAAUCGCUAGUAAUCGCAGGUCAGCAUACUGCGGUGAAUACGUUCCCGGGUCUU
rnacentral:rRNA from 1 species